UCGUGACACUGCAUAUUUUGCAGCUCAGCCUCAGACUGAACGUUUACAGCUCUGCACAAAACAACUGCAAAACCAUGAAUCAGGUCCAAAUUGAAUACUGUCAAGGAUGAGGGUACGCAUCCCACUUCAGGGAUCUGGAAAGAGCCCUCAGAAGGGUCCCUGGUGUGGCAGUGACGGGAUUCUGGGGAAGACAGGGCAGCUUUGAGGUGUCACUGAACGGGCAGAUGAUCUACUCCAAACUGGCAAAAAAGUCAUUUCCUGAUAAUAAAGUGAUUGUAAAGAUGGUGACGGAGAUGGUCGGUAAAAAUAUGAAGUAAAAGCAUCGGAGCAACUACAGCUCUGAAGAGGAUGGAGGAUCAAAUAAGAUCUGUAUUCACACUAAGGGUACGACAUGAUUUGUCUUCUGUGGUUCAGAACCAGAAGUUUAAAUGUGGACCAUGACCAACCAAGAAGAUGAGCCCAUGUGGUAUCUUUAUUGUGAAUACAGACAAAGGCGAGGAGACGAUGGGAGCCACACUGAGGAGCCGGCACUGACUUCUGUUUAUGAAUGUAUACACUGGAAAACAUGUGGUGUGUACACGAUGCAAGUCCAGAAGUUUUUCGCCCGGAGCCUGAGGAUGUGCUCUCAUCCUGUCUGUCUGUACUCCCAUGCAACAUUUCUUUAGCUGUCUCAAUCCAAUCCACUUAUUCCAUCAUCUGUUUUCUUCUGUUUAUAGAAAUCUAAAGGUCUCUGUGCUGUGAUAGGACACGAUUAAAAGAAUAGUUUGAUAUUUUUAGAAAAAAACUAGUUUGCCUUCUCGCCACAAGAUGAGCAGAUUGAUACCACUGUCAUUCCUUCGACAUAAAGCCACUGGUAACAUCCAGUUAUCUGAAGCUCACAAAUUAACUAGCAAUUUGCAGUGUCAGAGGGUUCAUUUGUUGACCCAGAUCACUUAAUAUAAAAUUAAAUGAAUGUAAAAUGGCUCAUAGUUUUACAUUUAGGUUUUUGGAUGGACUGAACAAACAGGAUAUCACAGGUUUUUUUAGCUAAACAGUCUCUGGCUCUAGCAUUGUAUUUAUGUCACAUGACAGAGGUAUCUUCUCAUCUUGCUAACUCUUGGCAGGGCAGAGGAAAUAUUCAACUUUAUUUUGUGUUAUGUUGCAAACAGAAAAUGCACCUCAAACUUCUGAUUCUUCUUAAAUAUUGGGCCUUUUCUAGAUCAUCUUGGAUGAGCUACUACUACUGAGCAUUUUCUACCUUCUCCAUCACUGAUUAAUAGUCAUUUAAUGACAAAUGGGAUGCUGGAGGUCCGGCGGCGUUGGAGCUGCUGAGAGAAAGUCUAGGCCGUACAAUGCCGUCAUAUAAUAUACAAAUAUUUGGCAACAGUUUUAAAACAUUUUACUCAACAAAAAGCAGCAAAUGUCCUCUGUGCAAUAGAUGGGCUGCAGCAAAAAGACACCACGUGUUCUAAAAUUAAAUAUAAUACUGACUAAGUCAAAAUAAAAAAAGAAUAGGCCUUUUGCUUUCAAAAUUUUACUUUAGUUUAAAAAAAUAAAUGUUUUAGUCAACUUUGGUUUGUUUUGUUGUUGCCGGUGAUGCUGCUGCAGUCCCCCCAACAACCCGACUUCCAGCAUCCUUGAAAUAUUUCACAUAUCAAACUGUUUCUAAACAAGAAAUCACCAACUCCAAUAACAAUUCAGUCCAUUUUCGACGAAUGCAAUAAAAAACUAUGGAUUCA